GACGGGGGGGGCAAGUGUUCUUCGGAAUGACUGGGCGUAAAGGGCACGUAGGCGGUGAAUCGGGUUGAAAGUGAAAGUCGCCAAAAAGUGGCGGAAUGCUCUCGAAACCAAUUCACUUGAGUGAGACAGAGGAGAGUGGAAUUUCGUGUGUAGGGGUGAAAGUCCGUAGAUCUACGAAGGAACGCCAAAAGCGAAGGCAGCUCUCUGGGUCCCUACCGACGCUGGGUGCGAAAGCAUGGGGAGCGAACAGG
rnacentral:rRNA from 1 species